rnacentral:rRNA from 1 species
CCCCUAGAUGUUCUGGGCCGCACGCGCGCUACACUGAACAGUUCAACAAGUCUUAACCUUGGCCGAUAGGUCUGGGUAAUCUUUGAACGCUGUUCGUGAUUGGGAUAGACCUUUGCAAUUAUGGGUCUUCAACGAGGAAUUCCUAGUAAACGCAAGUCAUCAGCUUGCAUUGAUUACGUCCCUGCCCUUUGUACACACCGCCCGUCGCACCUACCGAUUGAAUGGUCCGGUGAAAUCUCGGGACGGCGGCUUGGUCGCAUGCGUCCGACUGCUGAAACUUGAUUAAACCAUAUCAUUUAGAGGAAGGUGAAGUCGUAACA